GGGGUCGACAGGAAUCGACAGGAGGAGCAGUUAGCAGGUAAGCAUGCAGGGCCAGGGAUGUUGUCCCUUAAAACGCACGUCCACUCGUCUAAAUGGCGAAAACAACUAUGCGCUUGCUGCCUAAUCUACCAAGUAGAUUAGCUUAAUUCAGGCUCCAGGAGUCUGAACGAGCUGCCUUACCAUCGCCUCCCGUUUGCCGGGCGGCGGAUUUAGGCAUCACAAUGGCAAACUGGCUGUAUCGGAGUUCUGACGGUAUAGCGAGAUAAAAGAACUAAGGAAGACAUUGGUCAGUAUAGCACCGUGUGUUUUCCCUACAAUCCAAGCUAAACUAAGCAUGUAGAAAGCUUGUUGAUUCCCUGGCUGGACGUGGGUUCAAAUCCCACCGGCUCCACAA
rnacentral:tmRNA from 1 species